AGAAUAUUUUUGUACCUCAUAUAAUCUCGGUAAUAAGGUCCGAGAGUUUCUACCAGGUAGCCCAUAACUAGCUGUCUAUGAGGGAAGUGUA
rnacentral:ncRNA from 1 species